rnacentral:rRNA from 1 species
CAGCUAGCCUACCCACCAAAAUAACCAAACAAUAUAUAUAAAAUAAAAUAAACCAAACACCAAAAACUAAACCAUUCUUUUACCUGAGUAUGGGAGACAGAAAAGGUUCAACCACGAGCAAUAGAAAUAGUACCGCAAGGGAAAGCUGAAAGAGAAAUGAAAUAAUCCAUAUAAGCACCAAAAAGCAAAGACUAAACCUUGUACCUUUUGCAUCAUGAUUUAGCCAGUAAAUACAAGCAAAGAGACCUUUAGUUUGAAACCCCGAAACCAGGUGAGCUACCCCGAGACAGCCUAUUAGGGCCAACCCGUCUCUGUGGCAAAAGAGUGGGAAGAGCUCCGGGUAGAAGUGACAGACCUACCGAACCUGGUGAUAGCUGGUUGCCUAAGAAAUGAAUAGAAGUUCAGCCUCGCAUACCUCAAAUCAAACAAAUAUUUAUACCCAAGAUAUUAAGAGAAAAACACGAGAGUUAGUUAAAGGGGGUACAGCCCCUUUAACAAAGGACACAACCUUAUCAGGAGGAUAAAGAUCAUAAUAUAUAAAACAUACUGUUCUAGUGGGCCUAAAAGCAGCCACCUAAACAGAAAGCGUUAAAGCUCAGACAGAAUAAAGUUUAUUAUUCAGAUAAAAAAUCUUACUCCCCUAUAAAUAUUAGGCUAAUCCAUGCCCACAUGGAAGAAAUUAUGCUAAAAUGAGUAACAAGAAGACCCGCCCUUCUCCUAGCACAGGUGUAAGCCAAAUCGGACCAACCAUUGGCAACUAACGAACUCAACCCAAGAGAGUAAUGUGAAUAACAGAAAAAUCAAGAAAAAUCCACAAUCUAAUAAUCGUUAUCCCCACACUGGAGUGCUAUUUAUAGGAAAGACUAAAAGAAAAGGAAGGAACUCGGCAAACACAAGCCCCGCCUGUUUACCAAAAACAUCGCCUCCUGCAACAUAACCACAUAUAGGAGGUCCAACCUGCCCAGUGACCACAAGUUCAACGGCCGCGGUAUUUUGACCGUGCAAAGGUAGCGCAAUCACUUGUCUUUUAAAUAGAGACCUGUAUGAAUGGCUAAACGAAGGCUUAACUGUCUCCCCUUUCAAGUCAGUGAAAUUGAUCU